UGCAAAGUGUCCCUGUGCAGUCAGAGGAAACCAGUGUGAGUUCACUCUCCUUCCAUCCCGGGUCUCGAUUGCAGAAGAAGCUUCUCUGACACAGUGGAGAGCAGCGCUGACCCAGACCCGAACCAGGAGGAUGUGGACCCAGCAGCACCAGCUCCCAGGACCUUCUGCCUUUCACUGCCAGAUUGUCACUGCAGGGACAGCCAGCUUGUCGGACUGAGCAGCUUCCAGGAGAGAAGCUCACCUGUGAAGAUGGUGCCAGGGAAGAAGACAGAUCAGUUUGGUGACUCAUUUAGGGACUCUCCGUUUGGCUCCAUUGUCCUCUCUUCCCUCUGUGGAUUGUUGCCGCGGACCAACAUUAUGGACACAUCUGGAAAGGUUUUGCAGUGACAGUCAAUGCUCCAGACAGUCUGGAUUGCAGAAGAAGCUUCUCUGACACAGUGGAGAGCGGCACUGACCCAGACCUGCACCAGGAGAAUGUGGAACCAGCAGCACCAGCUCACAGGACAUUCUGCCUUUCACUGCCAGAUUGUCACUGCAGGGACAGCCAGCUUGUCGGACUGAGCAGCUUCCAGGUUCUCUUUCCCCAGUGUGCAUGUGGCCAUUGCUGGACCUAGUGCAUGUCACAGAAACUAACAUAUAAUAGCAAUAAUACCUUAAAAUAUUAUCUUUUCACUUAUGUAGUAUCCCUUUGUAUCAUAUAUAGUUAUAUUAAAAUAACAGAUACAUUUCUUAUUUUGUUCUAAAAAAACGCUGCAUAGUAUAGGUUUGGCUAUAAUAUAUAUAUCUAUUACAAAAUCAAUAAUUAACAGUAUUUAACUGCCAGCCAAAUAUCUUAGGGAGUGUAGGAGUCCUCCUAGUCUGUCUGACCUAGAUACAGGUCAGUUAUACACACAGGGGUAAAACUACACAUUUCUGCUAAGGAGAUCGGGUUACCCUGUUUCCUAUGCUAGGAAUGGGUACUAGCCACAUCUCUAGUUCAAGUAGUUCCAUUUUAAGGACAAAUUUUACCCAGGAGCACCAAGAGUACAAGGUGAUAAGAAAGGGCCCAAGCAACUACACAGAGUGAAGACCAUGAAAUGCUGUGUCCGCAGCAUCAUGAUUCAUCUGGUUGAGGCUGAUGGAAAGGGAUAGUGGUGGCACCAGAUGAACUCUCAUGACUUCUCUGGAGCAUCUUCAACCUGCAGCAAGGAAACACAUCUAUUGAAGGGUCUGAGGAAAGCCUCGGUCAGUUUUCCUGGGUGCCCUGUACCAGUCAUCACCACCCCACAGCCACCCUCACUGAGGGUCCUUCAGUUCUCUCCUCCAUCACCCCUGGGCUCUCCAUCUGGGAUCCCCUACUGUCUUCCUCCUUUUUUCUCAAGUCCCAGAGCCCCAGGCCCUGCUUCAGGCCUGGAGAUGAGAAUAAAGUGGUGAUGACUAGCUCUGCUUCCUGACUCAGAGGCUGAUGAGAGCAGCUGGAAGAGUAGGGGGGGGAACCUCUAUCCAACUUUCUUCUCCAAAAUCUCUCAGCUUCAGUGUAUCACACACAGGUGUGGAUGUGAC